rnacentral:tRNA from 1 species
GCUGAAAUGGCCUAUAUGCCAGUGGGAGGGCAUUUGCUUUGCAUGCAGAAAGUCCUAGGAUCAAUCCUUGGCACCUCCAGUU